UACAGAGGUCUCAAGCGUUGUUCGGAUUCAUUGGGCGUAAAGGGUGCGUAGGUGGCGAGGCAAGUCGGAUGUGAAAUCCCGGGGCUCAACCCCGGAACUGCAUUCGAUACUGCUUUGCUAGAGUACUGGAGAGGAGAUUGGAAUUUACGGUGUAGCAGUGAAAUGCGUAGAUAUCGUAAGGAAGACCAGCGGCGAAGGCGGAUCUCUGGACAGUUACUGACACUGAGCACGAAGGCCAGGGGAGCAAACGGG
rnacentral:rRNA from 1 species